AUUCGGCAACUUCGUGGUGACAGUGAUGGCAGGAUGCGACGGCGACGGUGGUACCGGGCCGGCGAUGCUCUUCUUCCCUUCCGCCGGCGCUAUCUCUUCCUCCGAUCUCCUCUCUGCGCGUGUGUGUGUAUUUUUUUUAUGUAUAGGAAAAGAAG